UGGGGAAUUUUGGACAAUGGGGGCAACCCUGAUCCAGCCAUGCCGCGUGAGUGAAGAAGGCCUUCGGGUUGUAAAGCUCUUUCGGCGGGGACGAAACGGUUCGUGUUAACACCACGGACUAAUGACGGUACUCGCAGAAGAAGCACCGGCUAACUACGUGCCAGCAGCCGCGGUAAUACGUAGGGUGCAGGCGUUAAUCGGAAUUACUGGGCGUAAAGCGUGCGCAGGCGGCUCCUUAAGUCAGAUGUGAAAGCCCCGGGCUUAACCUGGGAACUGCGUUUGAAACUGGGGAGCUAGAGUGUAGAAGAGGGGGGUGGAAUUCCAGGUGUAGCAGUGAAAUGCGUAGAGAUCUGGAGGAACACCGAUGGCGAAGGCAGCCCCCUGGGCUAACACUGACGCUCAUGCACGAAAGCGUGGGGAGCAAACAGGAUUAGAUACCCAAGUAGUCCCUGAGCGGGCUGGCAAGGCGCAU
rnacentral:rRNA from 1 species